GAGUUUGAUCCUGGCUCAGGAUGAACGCUGGCGGCGUGCCUAAUACAUGCAAGUCGAGCGAACCACUUCGGUGGGAAGCGGCGAACGGGUGAGUAACACGUAGGUGAUCUGCCCAUCAGACGGGGACAACGAUUGGAAACGAUCGCUAAUACCGGAUAGGACGAAAGUUUAAAGAUGCUCCUGGCAUCACUGAUGGAUGAGCCUGCGGCGCAUUAGCUAGUUGGUGGGGUAAAGGCCUACCAAGGCGACGAUGCGUAGCCGACCUGAGAGGGUGAACGGCCACACUGGGACUGAGACACGGCCCAGACUCCUACGGGAGGCAGCAGUAGGGAAUCUUCGGCAAUGGGCGAAAGCCUGACCGAGCAACGCCGCGUGAAUGAAGAAGACCUUCGGGUUGUAAAAUUCUGUUAUAAGGGAAGAAAGGUGAUAGGAGGAAAUGACUAUCAAUUGACGGUACCUUAUGAGAAAGCCACGGCUAACUACGUG
rnacentral:rRNA from 1 species